CGGGGGGCGGGGGGGCUGCGCGUUCCUCACCGCCCCGCGCGUGCGCAGUAGCGGCCGGCACAGGGCGCCGCGCAGGUGACCGUUUUGCUCCCUACGUAGGGGGAAGGGGAGGAGGACAAAACUAUCCCAGGCAAAAACAACAAAAACGGAGAGGGACGUAUUACGCUCACCUGCAAAGGAUUUAACAGAAGGCAGAGCUAUGCAGUAAUUACACCAUGUGUUUCUGUGCAAGCUUUACGGACUGUGUUCUGGGAAUGUGCCAAGAGAUUCCACUUCACAACGCCAUAACAAAUGGAUGUGGAAUAAAAGAAUGACAGGUGUUAAGGAUGGAGGAUUCACCGCUUCUCUGAAAUUUAGGACAUCCUUCUCUUCACUUAUGCAGCGGGAAACGGGAUAUAGUCAAGUGCACGGCUCACGCUUACUUGCAGCUGUUUCUAUCAAGCCACUGAAACUCAGAUUCCUGGUGUCAGUCCAAUGUGAUGACACCCUAUGAGCACUUGCGGGAAUUUGUUUCCAGCAUUCAAAGAACGUCCACCCGCCUGUAUGCAUAGGCCUGCUUUGGUAGACCAGCCGUUUAUCAGUUCCUUUGUGUAAGCAGACCUCACCUUACCAGCAGUGUUGUAUACGAGGUGUGGAGGACACUUACCAUUAGAAAAAUUUCGAUGCCAUACAUGUUGCAUUAUACUUCUGCUGGGCACGGUGUACCUGACUCUGGGUUCUAGGAGGCAGAGGUUAUAUAUUUUUAUCAAAGUGGAUGCUAUACAUGGUGUUUCAUGACUGGCCUUCUCUACUGAGCCUCACCUGUGGAUUCCUGCCAGGCUACAGACGGAAACCAGACCUCAGUGCAAGAGGAAGACGAAGCACAGGCAAUUUCCUUCCCUCUCUCCUGCACCUCAUUGAGAUGACUGGCAGGGACUAGCGGAGACUCUGACAUUUUGGAGAAGGGGGCAAGCAGGUGGAGAUGUUGGUGAAGGAAGCUGCAUCCCAGAAGAGAGAUUGCUGACCCUUGAAAUAGUGCAUGAAUGAAUAACCUCAAAAACUGUCCUAAGAGAAAAAAGCCAGACACCUAAGAUGAUUCCACAUGAUUCCAUAUGUGAACAGGCUGGAGACAGAAGCGGCUCAGUUGUUGCUGGUAGUGGGAAGCCAGUGUGGCAGCUGGCAUGGACACCCACCGAUGCCAGCAUCCAACCAUGCCUGCUUGGUGUGUAUGACCUUCCGCCAAGGACUCUGCACUUCUGUUUGGUUCCUGUGACCCUUUUGGCUGAUCAAAGAUGGAAGAUGGAGCUCCUGCUGGACAUGAAAAUAAUUCUACCCUAAAACCUAUUUAUGGACAUUUUACCUAUACUUCUUUGGAUUACACUCCCUGUGGCUGCUCCAGGAGUUACAUGGAAGCCCCUGCUCCCCGGUGUCUGCUGGGCCCACCGUCCAGGCAUCCUGUGUGGUGAUGUGAGGGCACAGCGGGGGUGUGCCUGGUCCCUAGGAUGCUGCUUUUACCAGAAACAACCACCCAACAAACAAGGAACAAACUCAGGAUAGUCUUACUCAGCUGUGUACCUGCCCGAGGCUGGAUUUCCUUCAUUACCUUACCCAACACCACCUAUCAUGGCUGACAGAAUGCAGAAGCUGUGAACACCUAGCAGUCUGCCAUCGAGAGUCACAAAAAGCAAAUAACACAGGCUGUAACCUAGAAGGACAAAACCCUUGGGACUGAUAGUUCAAGGGCUCCCGAGGCCGUGGAUCUGCUGCCCCAUGAGACCAAUCAUGCUACUCAGCUGCCAAGAGCCGGGUCCAUGCACUCAAGGCAGGUUUCAGAACCAACCACAUGUCACACCACACCUACCUAACACCGCAUCCUGGACAGCGCUCUCCGGGUCAUCGAGGUACACAAGGAGCUCUCUGUACAGGAACUGAAUGUUGCUUUGGUAGUAGGACUUCCCAUCAUCAUUCUUGAUACACGCCAGCCAUGUGACCAAGGCAGAGGUGGCAGCUAGCCUCACUUCAUGGGAAACGUCGUCCAGACGCUUCAGGAGCUCUAGAGGGAGGGCCAGACAGGACAGUGAGACAGCGACCAGUGCAGGGACUGACCCAGAGCUGGGGGCACUCACCCUUGGGCCCUGGGAACCCCAUGUCCUGUGGGGAGACUAGUGCUCACACUCAAGGGCCUGGGGGCAGCUCCCAGGACCACUGGACCACACUGGCCAGGGCAGGCGGAGGAGAACCUGGCCCUCCUUGUGCCGUAUGUGCAGGCAGGCCUGAGCUGCUCUGUACCUGUCUCCUCACCUGCAAGGCAGCCCCAGGCCUCUGUGGCUCCGAGAUGCUCAAGAGUCUGUCACCACAAGCAUCACACCCUGGCUGUCCUGUCCCCUUGAUGGGCAGACCCUUCUCUACCCCAACACACUGCGCACUCUGGGGAAGAGCUCAGGGCCUGAUGAUGAGAGCCAACACCUGUGUCUGGUUUGUUUCUGCUGAGUUCUGGGGCUGGACCACUUGGCUGCUGAACGCAGUAACCAUUUCUCCUGUGGGUAGAAACUCACUGUUCACAGGUGAGGUUUUUAUCAAACAUAUACCUUUCUCACCCCAAAGUACAAGAAAUCUCUGGCCCUGUGGCUGGGUGUCUCUGGAGACUCAGCAGUCACUGGGGCACAGAAUGAGCAGGCAGGAGGUGGAUGUUGGUGGGGAGCAGGGCAGUGGCCCCACAAUGGCAGGCGGCCUAUCCACCAGACGUAGGUAUGCAGGGCCGUGGGCCUGUGCUGUUCUACACAUGUGUGCAUGUGGCUCUUGGCUUCCUGAUGGGCAUUAACUCACAGAGAUGCCCUUUUCUAAGGAUUCUGAGCCUCAUGGAAGCACGCAUGUUUGCAAAACCUUGCAGAGACCAGCACCACCUCCCCUAGUCCUGGGACAGCCAGUGAGAAGGACACAUCACCCGUGCCUCUCGCAGGGAUUCCUGCCAUAUCCUUGCUCCUGCCAGCUCAGGCCAACUUUGGGAUGGUGUCUCCUAAGCCUCUAGUUUUAAGCAGAAGAGGUGGCUUGGAAAUUCACUUUUGUGAUCGUCUGAGGUCCGCCAUGAUGUGCAACUGCUAGUUCAGGAAGAAAAGAUAGCUUGUAUGGGGCUUGUCAGGAAGGACUUAGAGGGAGCAGCUUAGAACGUCCUCCCCUCUGCAGCCAAGCAGGCAAUGCUUCUGUAAACACAUCGCUGCCAGGAGCACAGAACUGGUGCCACAAAAUAAAGGAGCCUGCCCGAGGAAAUCCUAUUGUAAUUAAAAUAUCCCCAAAUGCCCCCAAAUGAGCAACAUUUUCACUGGCUUUUGUUUUAAAAAGUGAGCAAAAUCCCAAUGAGUCCUGACAGGCAGCAACCACACUGGCCUGGAUUUGUUCACAGAUAGAAAUAGGAAUAAGAUGUUUGGUGCCACAGAAGUAAACACAAAAGCAAAAACAAACUUGAAAGAACACAUGGGAAAGGUGACUUUGACUCUGCAUUUCAUCAAGAUGCACUACAUUUCCAGAACAUUCUGAGCCACUACCUCUUCUGAUGUUGGCCGUCUGUUUGCCACUCAUUCUGGAGCUCUGCGUGCACAGCCUGCACCUCUUCCCCUCAUGGUGACCCGAAUGGACUCAGCUCACAAAUCCCAUCUCUGCCACAUUUGGUCUCAUGCAUCCAGUGGCCCCUGCUUUGAAUCUCAUUUCCCGGAAUUCUUAAGACCACCUUCUAGAAUCACUGCCUGCUGCAGCCCAGGGAAAGUACAGGUGCUGAGGCUCCACUGUGUGGCCAGGGCCCAGGCAGGAAUCAAGAGCCUGCAGGCCACACCCAGUGCCAACCUUGCUCCUUAGUCUCCACAGGGCCCCUCACUACAGUCUACCAGCAGCAUUUCUAGAAGGUCUGCUGGGCUCUUUCUCAGUCAUAUCUUGGUUUCUGUUUGCAUUUCUGUUUGAACUUGGAGGUGGGUUCUAGAAUUCACCACUCCCCUCCAGCAACAGGGGUACUUGCCAUCCUCCAUGCUAGGUUUUCCUGGUGUUUUAGGGACCCUCCGCAUCCACUAGUCUGCUCCUUCGUCUGAGAUUGUGCAGUGCCUGGGCUCCAGAGGGGUGAAAAUGUGGGAUUUGAGGCACGGCUGUGUGCCCACCCUCACCUCAAGGGAUCCCUGCCAGGUCGUGGGGCCGCACUCCCAAAUCUUGGGCACACGCCUCCUUGUUUCUUGUGCUACACUAUCUACCCAUUGAUGGUUCCUCUGUCAUGGCUGUAUUGGGAUGCAGCAUCAACCUGACUGGAGGUCAAAGGAGCAGUUUCUAGUUUCCCUAUAAAAGAAACAGCCACCAGAUAACUAGACACAUGAGGUUUAGGAAAGAAAGAUGUCCUACCAGGGUAAAUCCUGAUGAACUUAUCAGGAUCAAUGAUGCCACUGGAGGAUUUUAGAAAUCUGUUAAUGAUCUGGCACGAAAUUAAUCGAGUCAUCUGAGAAUCUUCCUCCAGGGUGGUUAGAAUAUGCGGCAUCAGUGUCUCCUGCACUUGCUGUAUCUGCAAUGAGAAGACAAGAGGGGCUGGUGACGGACCCCAGCCCAGCAACGACACUGCAUGUGGUGUGUACAUGCUGCCUGUCAUGGAAGGUGCCUGCCUCUCAUACAGACAGGAGUCUGGAAUGCUACUGUGAAAUUUUUACAUAAGAAAACUAGAACCUUGAUUUUUAAAAUCUAGAUGACUUGAACAAUCUUGUUUAAAUUGGUGAGUUGAUAAACUCAUUAUUCACAAAGUCUUAGACAUAAAUCCUACAGAGUCUGCUAUUCACUGGAAUGGCUGUCUAUUGUGCCCUACAAAAUUCAGGGGACAUUGUAACUCUGAUCAUGACAGUUGAGUGUACCAGGAGGUAGAGCUCACACAGUAGGCAAGUCCCUGGCCAGGCAUGGCAGAUGUGGGGCUAAGCAGUGACAGCAAGGCUUUCACACUGCUGUGCCUGCUUCCCUGAUCCCCAUGUGAACUGCAGGUAGGAAUCACAGUAACUCAUAAACCCCAACAUCUGCCCAACUCAGUUAGGUUCCUGUGGUUACAUUCUCUGCUCUGCAAAGAGUAACAUUUAAUAUGUAAACCUCUGAAAACCCCCAGAUAAUCAGAACACCAAAUGCUGCGGGUCACACCAGCCUGUGCUCUGCCCUUGCCUGCAGCCCCCAUGUUCCCUCCCCUCUGUGGGUUGCUGAAAGCAGGGUCUGGCCACUGCAUGCACGUGCUCCUCCCCUGGGCAGGUGCCCUUGGGAGCCCCACCUGCUCUUCCGACAGGACCUCGCUGCUGAUGAGCGCCCAGAGGCAGGACACAGCUGCCGUGCGGAUGGCUGCGGCGGUCUUCCCUGCAUGCCACUGCAGAUUGGGGACCAGGAUGUCCUUCGUCACAGUGUCGAGGUAGUGGUGGAACUGCCUGGGGUGGAAACAUGGGAGCACAGGUAAAGACAAGGGAGCCAGGCUGAGGGGAAACCUGAACCAGGGCGUGAAGGUUUCCCUGGGGCAGGUGCCCUGCAGGGGAGGAGGCAGCUAGAGGGAGAGCUGGUGGCCUUCUAGAACUCCUCCCAGCCUCUGCUGGGCCCACUCAGAGGUUCUGAGCCUCUAGGGUGCCCCCACCCCUCUGCUGCAGGGCUUUGUCAGUCUUUCCCCUUGCCUCUGAAAGAGGAGGUAGGAAGUUACCAGGCACAUUGACCAGGCUGGCAAAGUCACUUGUAGGUGUGGCCACCUCUCUCUCUCUCUCUCUCUCUCUCUCUCUCUCUCUCACACACACACACACACACACACACACACACACACAGACACAUGCCUAACUGUCCCCUGUGGGCAUGCUCCCCUCCACCCAAGGGGAGAGCACUGCAGGUCUGCACCCAGGGCCUGAGUGCUGCAGCUCAUGGAGACAUGGAUGUUCCCACCAGUAAUAAGGGCACAUCAUCUGGAUGGUGAACUCACAUAUCCCACUCUGCCUGGCCAGCUCAGGGCUGCAGAGCCACACUCUGGGCACCUUAGUAGGAGCUGCACAGAGGGGCACCUGAGUGUCCUAACGAAUCCCACUGUGCCUUCACCAUUACAUCAAAACCUGUUUGGUUCAACAAAUAAUUCAAGUUAUUUCAUUCCAAAGCAUAUUUCAAAGGUGGCUUGUGUCCCAAUACCAGCUGCUCUUGAAUACUGAAAAGGUAAAGCCUCUGGGGGGAGCCCGAGCUCCACGACACCCUUGCUUCUCCUUGCAUCCUGCGCCAUCCCUCUGGUCUGUCUCCAGCCUCAUCCCCGACUGACCCAACUUUCUGAUAAGGCUCCACCUGUUUGCUUCCAGCAGGGGGCAUCCCAGAACCAGCGAUGCAGGCAAAGGAGCAAAUCUGGUUCUGGAUGGUCUACACACACAGACACACAGACACACAGAUUAGGUUUUCAAUGUGCUUUAACUGUUAUGCAAGGAACUGCUGCUUCUUGCAAAGUGAUUCACAAGAGUCUCUUCAGAAGGACCUAACCCUGAGUCCUGUCCUCUGAGUGUCCAGGUAAAGUAGCUAUAAGAAUGGAGGGCUGAGCACUGGCCAGACUGCCGCUCGGCUGUGGGGAUACAGGCAGGGGCCUCAUGUGUGGUCAGGGUCAGUCAGAACUUGCGCCGAAAAAACAGUGACACAUCAGGGAGGAAGAUCAAGCACCUGACUUUUUGGAGUGGCUUGUCCUGUGCAUGAGAAGAUGCAUGUGGCUUUGUAGGUGGGUCCUUGCUGGAAUGAAGACGUACACGUAGGUGGUUCGCCCAGACUUCCCUCAGAACUGAUGCCACCUCAGGAGACCGUGAGUGCCCUGCUCCUCAACCCCAGCUACCUUUGUGGGCAGUGCUCUGAAGACGGACCUCCUACCACCCUUGUCACCCCUUCCCUGGUCCCUGGUCAGCCUCGAGGACCAGACGGAGCCAGGUGGUGGCCAGCAAGGCCUGUCACACAUCUAUAGACACCCUGGAGGGCAGAGGCUGCAUGUCUGGAGGUGGGGACGGCCCAGAGCAAUUAUGGAACCUGAGUGGGUCGGCCGGGACAGAUGGGACGGUGCCCAGGGCCCAAGCUUGGGGUUGUUCUGUGGGAGGGGCAGCCCUGUCCGGGGGAGGGAGCCCCCCAAAAUGGCACCUCCUCAAACCGAGGAGCCCAUCUUGUCGCUGUGGCACUUUCAUCAGGUAUUAGUGAGGCCAAGGACCCAGGAUAGCUCUCUCAACGCCUAUGCUCUGCCAACUCUGAGUGGGACCUGCAGGUGGCCAGUGGACAGGUUUCGGCAGAAUAGGGUCACCCAUUCAGGCCCCUGGAGAGGAUGUGGGGAAGCACAGGCUCUGAGGCACCAGCCGACCUGUGUCCAUACGCCCUUGGGGCUCAUCCAUGUGGACCUCUGCUGUCGGGAGGGCUCCCAGGGCUCACUUUGUCUCUUUUUAUGGCCACUGUAGGCUCAAAGCCUUGUGCAGACAAGCAUGAAACAGAAUUCCUGCAAUUUGAUGGGCUGACAGAGCCCACAGCAAAUGUCCUAGCAUGUUAGUGACAGAGCCCUGAUGGAUGUGCUCCUUCUAAGGGGAUGGGGUCCCCUCACGCCUCACUGCCCACUCUACCCCAUGGCACCCAGCUCUGCCCUGCGACGGAUUUAGGUCACUCCUGUCCUUCCCACCAGCAUCUCUGCUCUCCAUCCCUCACUGCAGAGCUGCCACAUUAGAGGUCUUUCAGUGUUUGCUGCCUCAAAGUUCUCAUGGACAGAAUCUUCUAACAGUGAUUCAAUCCAUUCUUUGUUAGGUUUGAAAGGUACCGAAAGACUAUUAAAAGUGAGAACAGCUAAUAUAUAAACCAUUAAUAGUUAAUGUUCCCUGAAACCUCUUCAUUCAAUGGAAUUUUAACGGCCACACGAAAAUGACUUGACUUCGUGUCUGUCCGACUGGGCUCUCAUUGCAGGGCUGUUUACCCAGGGAGAGCGGCUGGCGCCAGAGCCCGGGGUGACCCCAGCUCCUGUCUGAGAGGACCCCACAGAGGCCAGAGGCCAGGCAGACUUACCCCUGGGAGUCGAUGGUCUGCUUUGCAUUCAGCAGCACCCGUGACAGGCAAGAGAAGAGCCUCAGGCGCAUCUGCGGGUCUCUGGCUGGCUGGAGGCAGCUCCUAAGGAUGGGCAUGAGGUGGGGCAGCACUUCUCCCAGCGCCGGGCCUGGAAAACACACACCCAGUUCCCACGGUUCUUGCUCGCAGAUGGACAGCAGCCCACGGCUGCAGGGUCAGCACCUGUGCCGAAGGCGGGGGCCAGCACGCCCUGUCCCACCACCUUCCUUUCCUUUCCGGAUCGUGGGUGUCACUAUAAAACAUUUAACCCCCAAAUCAUGCUUAUCAUUCAACAUGGAAACUUCCUAUUUCCUUAUAUUUUCCCAGAUACUUAAAAAAAUUCAAGUUAAGCAAUAUUUUAAAGAUCAACCAAAAUAAAUUAUUCAGAACACGUAAGGUGUUUAAUAUUUGCCCCUACACUUGGCAGCCAUCGCUCUACUCAGGCGCUGCUCGAGAGCACUGGCGCAGGUCCGCCUGUAGUACCAAGGGCCUCAGACAUGAGGAAUGAUUUUCAGUACUGGAAGUGCUCUCAGUCGUGAUUGGAAUAAACAGUCCCUGGGGUGUAGACAUGCACUCUGAUUGCAUGGACACGGUCAUGGAGUGCCACUGUGGCCCCCCACUCCAGCCAGGCAGGCCCUCGCAGCACUGUACAACUGAUAGCGCCUCUCAUAGCCACCCUGCUCACAACGUGCCUGUCCAUUUGCAACAAGCCCAAAAACAAGCAAAGCAACUGGAGUCUUCUCAGAUCCUCUGUCUCAAACUGGGCGUCAAAGCCACAAGAUGGAAAAGCAAAGCCCUUUGUUGACCUGAGGCCAGGUGUGGGGUCUGGGGAAGAAAGAGAAACAAACUAGAUGGGACGAUAUGGCCCAGGAGCAGGAUACCUUCAGCACGACUGAGCACCGAAUGUUUGCUCACACCCUCUGUGGUUUAUUUUCCUUUGACAUCACACAGAAGGCCAAUGUUCAGACAAUUCUCACUGGAGGAGGAGGUGGGAUCUUUCAGGAAAGAUACCAAUCUCCUGCUUACAAGCAAGAGGAGAAAGGAGUCACUGAAUGUCUUCCUGCCCCUCCUGUAAAAACACACCUAGCUUGUGCACAUCACUGUCUCCCUUUUACCAUGUGUGCACCAAAAAUGCAUUAUUUCUAACAUGUCAAGUCUGUUAAAUGCUCUUUGUAAAAAUGAGAAAAAAACUCCUCCAACCUGCAGGGUGUUUGUCAACACUAACGGUACAAAGAAACGGGUAGAUGUGAGAUCCAGCAGGAAGUACUUGAGGACUGGAUAGACCGGUGUGCCCUGGGUGUGCCAGCACCAUGCGGGUUGUGGGGCACUGGGAAAGGAACCUCUCCAGACCAAACAGGAUACUUUCAAACAAAGAGUGUAAAUACACAGUAUUCACACUCUGAGAAAAUACUUGGUUAACUGAAGGAGAAGUGCAGAGCAGCCAUGCCACCCCCCAUACUGCCCGCCCCUCCUGCACUUGGCUGACAACCCAGCUUUUCCUGAUCAGCCUCAACGGUGUGCAGGCUUGCAGGUUCCAGUGCACUGGGAAGUGGCUUCUGGUGGCUUUCUAAAUUAGGGACAGAAACUGCCCUUCCAGGUCUGAAAGUAAUUUUUGUUGUUUUCAAGAAUCUUUUAAAAAGAAGCAUUCCAGUGAAAGCUUCCCCAGGGCUGGUCCAAUAGAGGGAUUUCCACAGGGCAGGGAGGAAGCAUGGAUGGGAGGCCCACGCAGAACACCCGUUGGCCAUGCAGCACUAAGUUCAAUGAUGCUGAGGUGUAUCUCAACACGGGCCACAUGAGAGGCCAUGACAAGGCCCAAACUUGAGGUUUAACAUCAAACCCAUACACCUGGCAGGCUUUGAGCAGCCAUGUUACAUAAAGUCUUGAAAAGUAAUCUUCUUGGCAUUUUUAAAGUUAACAUUUUGGUUCUCAAACUGCUGGUUCCCAUGGGCAGGAGAGAUGAGUCACCCCACCUCAGCUGGCUUGUGGCCCCCUGGGUCCAGCCUGGGCAUGGUGGGAACUCACCUGCAUGGGUGACUACCACAGUGAGCUGCAGCAGCUCCACGGAGUGGACAGUCCAGUCGUUCUGUGUCGCUGCCAGCCACUCCACAAGGGGGCCUAUGUGUUCUCGGUAGAGGUCCUGCCUGCUGUUGACCUCUUGCACUGUGGCCAGAGCAUCC